AUGGGGGCAACUGUGGGAGGACACAGACUUGAGAGGGCUGAGGAGGGUCACUGGAGGACCUCACCCCAUCCAGAGCGGGAGACAGACAUACUCUCUGGGCUCAGGCUGGACACAAGGGCGAGACUGCCCUGCACCUCCAUGCUUUGCCGCUCCUGGGUGGCCAGGUCCUGGCGCAGGCGUUCAGCCACAGGCGCGGUGGGCGAGGAGGGCCUAGGGGCCUCUGCAGCCAGGUGUAACUCGGCCUCCAGGGCACGGGCCUGGGCGUCCAGGGCCUGCAGUCUAGCUGCGUGCUCAGCCGUAGCUGCGCUCAGCGCCUGCAGGCAGGCCUGUGCCUCGCGCUCCCGGGCCUGCUCCCGCCGCAGCUCCUGCUCCCAGAAGGCCUCCUGGCCCAGCUCCACUGCGUUCCUCGCACCCUUCGCUCCAGGCCCUGCAGGUCUGUGCAGCAGCCCGGCACAGGCACUACGGGAGCCAGAGGCUCGGGUGGCACAGGGCCGGGGCCUGCCCAGAGCACCCCAGGCUGAAGGUCAGUGCUUUGCAGGGCUCACGGUCCAGUGCUGGUCGAGGCUUUGGGGAAGGCUAGCUCGGAUGGGACAGCGCUCAGGGGAGGGCAGCUGUCCGAGGAGGGCCUCCCAGCGAGGCUGGGUCCUGUCCGCCUCAGGACAAACUGGACAUCACUGGCAAACUGUCCGCAGGUCGCUUGGGCACCCACAGGACAUUCCUGGGGUAGCAGCUGCCGUUCCUUCUCUCUGAGGCGCUGCACGAGCACAAAGCGGCCCGUCUGGCCUGGAGCCGGGAAAGGGUCAGUCAGCCCACAUCCCUUACCUUUAGUCCAUCUGGCUUGAGCAGCUGGGGAAAGCAAAACGGACCAGCAACAGCCCCACCCUCCUGGGGCCAGAUGGGGCCGGAGGCCAGGCGCCACUGCAAGCCACCUGCUGGGCCCAUCUGUGCUUCAGGAACUCACCUAUGGCUUGGGCUAGUGCAAUGACCACUUCUUGACAGGUGGUCUGCUCUGAAACCCCACAAACCACGCGCUGGAUGCCGUCCACCCACACCUUCAGCUCCAUGGCCGCCAGUCCUGAGAGCAUGCCUGUCCUGCAGCGAGGGCGAGGGCCACGGGGUCAGGCCCGCCUGGCCCCAGCUCGGCAGCCGGCUCUUCCUCCUCAGGCCUGCCCCGCACCCCGGAACUGGCUCAGGACUGCUGCCCCUCGGCAUCUGGUGCGCAGCCCACACGGAGGCCGCACAUUCCUGGGGUGGGGCAGCAAGGCCAGUGCCCCCAGAGAGGAACCAGAGGGCCCUCCCGCAGCGCUCGGAGGCUGCCCCACUCCCCAGCCUGCUCUCGGCCGGCCCCACUCCCGGAACCAAGCAAAUCAUUAACCAGACCGGGCCACCCGGCUUGAAGGGCACAGCCCCUCCCGCGGGGCGUCCGCGCGCAGCCCUCGACACCGCAGACCCGCCGCACCCGGCGCGGGCGGCCCCUCCCUGCUACCGCGCGGCCCCGCGCUCGCCGCGAGGCCGCAGUCCCCGCUCUCGGCGGGUGCAGGUGCAGCGCGGCCCCUCGCCGGCCCGGCUCCCGCCCCUCCGUCGGAGUCGCAGCCCAGGGCCACGCCCUGCGCCGCGAAGGCCCCGGAACUCGGCGCGGCUCACCUGGACGCUGACCGGCCUCCGGAAUCCGGACGCGGACUGGCUGCUGCCAGGCUCCGGGCGCCGCCGCAAGGCCAGUGCCCCCAGAGAGGAACCAGAGGGCCCUCCCGCAGCGCUCGGAGGCUGCCCCACUCCCCAGCCUGCUCUCGGCCGGCCCCACUCCCGGAACCAAGCAAAUCAUUAACCAGACCGGGCCACCCG
rnacentral:lncRNA from 1 species